AUACGGCUGUCAGAAACUGAUGUCAUAAAAGUGGUACGAAAACUGAAGAGAAAAAUGGUGAGGAUAUUAUUGAGAAUGCGAGGCAGAGAUUUGAGACAGAUAGUGAUGUGUGAGAUGCCCUUUCGCCGGAACAUUUCUGUGAAACAGCUGCUAAUAGUGAGUAGAAAGAAUGUUUUAAUUUAACAUCCUGGCUUUGCGUAUAGUUUCUCCUUCUUAUACCUUCAUCGGAUACAGAUCCAUAUCCCAUCGGCUUUCUGGGAUUUUCGAGGUUUUGUAUAGUGUUUCAUAUUCCUGGGGUCAUUCCCACAUAAAAGACAAUUGUCUCUCCGUUUGUAAGAAAUUUAAUCUAAUCUCUUUUCAGCUUUUGAAUUACACUGCUUCUCGAGGAUGACAGUUUCUAAUUAAAUUGUGAUGGUUCACAGGACAAUAGUAUCACAAGAAGUUACACUAGACUCGGAUUAUCAAGAUCGACGAGUGGUUCUUGACUAAGCCUAUAGUCUAUUUACAAUGCAAAGGAGAGAAGAAAACAGUGUUCCUGAUCUGAAAAUAACAAACGUGCUUUAUAUUUUCAGAGGCCAUGAAUCAUGGUAGGUUCGUAUUUCUCUUUCGGAAUGUAGAUCAAUCGUGAGACAGCUGGUUUCUUGCUCAUUUUUGUUCUGAUUUUUAUAUAGCUAAAGGAAGAAUUUUCGACAUCUGUAAAGUUUUGUUUUUUUGUUUUUUUUUGGUCAAUUGUAAGGUUUUGUUUUAUCUUGACCCAGUGCAAAAAAGGCUGCAUCUUUC